AAAGUGAUACUGGGCUUCCUGACCCAGGUUCCCAUUUCAGAGACUGACUAUGCCAGCAGACUGAAUGGUUAUUGUGCCCUGCUCUGAGAUUGUGUCUGAACUUACUCUCAAACAGAAUGGAUACUGGACUGUUAAUUCUGAGAUUUGUCUAAAUCUCAAAGAAACCCUAGCCCGCCACCCAUUAUACUCCCAGCAUUAUCCCCAAUUACCUGUGCUGGUGUUUCUUAAAAAUUGUUUCUAGCACAAUAGUUCUUUUGAUAACUGAAAUAUUACUGUGAACCCAAUAUUCUAGUAUUCCUUCAUUAUACAAAUACUUAAAUAAGGGCUAAGUACCAGGCCCUGUUCUAGGAACACCAGUAAAUGAAACAUAAACCCUUAUCCUCACUAAACUUAUAUUUGAAAUGAAGAAAGAUGGAACUGUUGAAGAGGGAUUGAAGGAUGAAACACCUACCCUUCAACACAGGCCUCCAUGCAUUUACAGCUUUCCAAGGGAACUUGAGUGCUGUCUAGAAAUCAUGCUUUUUUACAAAAUGAAAGUACCCAUCUCACAGAAACAGGCUUGUGCCUUCAAUGCACGAUAUUAUUCACAGCCUCCUUUCCUUUAUGUUUCAUAGGUUUAAUCACAUUCUUGAAAGGAGUGUGUGAUCAAAAGUGAUGGUAUAGCUUUAUAUGAUGAUGCAUCACUUCUUAGAUUUGACUCCAGGUGACUCUGCCAUAUUUAGAAAUCAGAUUUACCUUGAAAGAACAUGAGGUUUCUACCCCUGAGGAUACUCUGAGAAUGCAGUCAUAGAGAAUGGUANNNNNNNNNNNNNNNNNNNNNNNNNNNNNNNNNNNNNNNNNNNNNNNNNNNNNNNNNNNNNNNNNNNNNNNNNNNNNNNNNNNNNNNNNNNNNNNNNNNAGAGAAUGGUAUCACCAAGAUGUGACAGUUCAUUCCUCCUUCACUUCCCCUAACUAAAAGGAAACCUAAAAACUAUUCAUGGAUAAGAUACCAGUAAGAGGGGCUUGCAACAAUCAGCCCUUAGAUCUUGGCAGUCUGAGUUCCUAUCUGCCGUGCCCAAGUAGUAGUCCCAAGCAGCGGCUUUGCUCAUCUGCAGAACCAAGAAGGUAGCACAGUCUGACCAGGGAACUCAGAGGGGUGCAGGUUUGGCUGAUUCAGGUCCUCAAAGGAGGAGUUCUUCAGGCUCUGGAGGCUGGUCUGCCCCACCCUCGGUAGAUUGUGACUGCCCACCCCAUCUGCAGGGAGGGCUGGCAGAACACCUGGAGGUGGCUGACUAACCCGGUAGUACUCAACCUGAGAGGGAGAAGGGCAGAGCUGACCUCAAGAGCAAAGCAAGCAAUCCUGUUUGACCAGGGAGCCUGGGACAAUUGGAUUGGCUUGAGUCAAUACCACAAACAGAGAGACUUACUGUCUUGGAGAUGCUCCUCCCACUGCAUUGAGGAAGGGAAAUAAAUUCACAGCUCCUUCGGGCUUUCUGAUCAGGGAACCUAACCAGAGCACAAGGCAUAGCCCCUCCAAUAGUCCUGCUUACAGUGUUGCUUAAAACCCAGGAGCCACAACCUACGGCUUUUCCCAUCUGCAGAGCAAAACUGGUGGCCUCACCUGACCAAGAUAAUCAGUGUACACUUUUGCCAAAUUUUGGUCCCCAAACCCAUUGCCUGCAUCCUGUCCAGCAAUCCUGCAAGGCAAGCUACUUCAUAGCCCCACCUACUGUCGAGUAAAGAGCUCAAUCAUGACCAUUUAACAAGUAUCACCUGCAGAACCAAGAAGGUAGUGCAGUCUGACCAGGGAACUCAAAGGGGUGCAGGUCUCCCUGAUUCAGGUCUCAGAGGAGGCAUUCCAGGCAAAUGUGGAGCACAUCCUAUCAUUUCCCUUGUGCAGGGAACCAAGCAGCAGUCAUCCAACUAUUCUCAGCUAGUGGCACAGGCCUCACUCCCACCUUAAGAGCCCAAACAGUUGCCUUGCCCCAAAUAGAUCCUUAGCAGCUCUCCACCUGCCCAAAGGCCUUACCAAUAAACAUGCCCAGAAAUCCAACUGAACUGACUAAUGAAAACUUACCUCUGCCAAGGUGAACCAGCAAAGUAUGGAAAAGGAGACUGCUUAUGCAAAUAAACCAGUGUAAGGAAUCAAGGAUCAUAAAACAUUACGUAAAUAUAUGACACUAUGCAAGGAAAUUAAUAAAUGAAAAGCUGUUAAACGUCAGGCAAAGAAUUGAGAAUAAUUGUUUUAAAAAAGUUUAGUGAACUAUAAGAAUACACAGGCAACUCAAUGAAAUUAGGAAAGUAAUCUAAGGAUGGUCACAAUAAAACGGUAAAAACUGAACAGAAGUAGAAGAAAUUAAGAAUAGGUGGCAAGAAUACACAGAAGAACUACACAAAAAAGGUCUUAAUGACCC
ensembl:lncRNA